GGGGCUAGUCUGGUGACGGUGGCGGACUGUAACUCUGCACACCGAGGGUCCAAUCCCCUCUAGCUCCA
rnacentral:tRNA from 1 species